rnacentral:rRNA from 1 species
UACAGAGGUCUCAAGCGUUGUUCGGAUUCAUUGGGCGUAAAGGGUGCGUAGGCGGCGCGGUAAGUCGGGUGUGAAAUCUCGGGGCUUAACUCCGAAACUGCAUUCGAUACUGCCGUGCUUGAGGACUGGAGAGGAGACUGGAAUUUACGGUGUAGCGGUGAAAUGCGCAGAUAUCAGGAGGAACACCGGUGGCGAAGGCGGGUCUCUGGGCAACAACUGACGCUGAGGAGCGAAAGCGUGGGGAGCGAACAGG